rnacentral:rRNA from 1 species
UGGACCUCAAAUCAGACGGGGCUACCCGCUGAAUUUAAGCAUAUUAAUAAGCGGAGGAAAAGAAACUAACCAGGAUUCCCCUAGUAACGGCGAGUGAAGCGGGAAGAGCUCAAAUUUAAAAUCUUGGCGCUUCGCGUCAUGAAUUGUAGUUUUGAGAUGCUGUGUCUGUGUACAACCGGGUCCAAGUUCUUUGGAACAAGACAUCAGAGAGGGUGAGAAUCCCGUCUUUGGCCUGGCGCUGGCGCUGUACGAUACAGUUUCGAAGAGUCGCGUUGCUUGGGAAUGCAGCGCUAAAUGGGUGGUAAACUUCAUCUAAAGCUAAAUAUUGGCGAGAGACCGAUAGCGAACAAGUACCG